AUUGAACGCUAGCGGCAUGCCUAACACAUGCAAGUCGAACGGCAGCAUGCCACUGAGUAAUCAGUGGUGAUGGCGAGUGGCGGACGGGUGAGUAACGCGUAGGAAUCUACCUCGUAGUGGGGGAUAACCCGGGGAAACUCGGGCUAAUACCGCAUAUGUUCUUCGGAACAAAGGGAGCCUCUAUUUAUAAGCUUUCGCUAUGAGAUGAGCCUGCGUUGGAUUAGCUAGCUGGUAGGGUAAUGGCCUACCAAGGUGACGAUCCAUAGCUGGUCUGAAAGGACGAUCAGCCACACUGGGACUGAGACACGGCCCAGACUCCUACGGGAGGCAGCAGUGGGGAAUAUUGGACAAUGGGGGAAACCCUGAUCCAGCAAUGCCGCGUGUGUGAAGAAGGCCUUCGGGUUAUAAAGCACUUUUAGUGGGGAAAAAAGAUUCAAGUCGAAUAGGCUUGAGUGUUGAUGUUACCCACAGAAUAGGCCCCGGCUAACUUCGUGCCAGCCGCCGCGGUAAGAC
rnacentral:rRNA from 1 species